UACGAAGGGGGCUAGCGUUGCUCGGAAUUACUGGGCGUAAAGCGCGCGUAGGCGGAUCAUCAAGUCGGGGGUGAAAUCCCGGGGCUCAACCCCGGAAUGGCCUUCGAGACUGGUGGUCUUGAGUUCGAGAGAGGUGAGUGGAAUUCCGAGUGUAGAGGUGAAAUUCGUAGAUAUUCGGAAGAACACCAGUGGCGAAGGCGGCUCACUGGACUGGUAUUGACGCUGAGGUGCGAAAGCGUGGGGAGCAAACAGG
rnacentral:rRNA from 1 species